GACAUUUCGUAUAAAAACGCGGACCGAUCAGGCUGAUGGCACACUCGAUCCAAAACUACCACGAGAUACAAUGAGGAGCUUCGCGAUUGUAUUGUUGGCAACCGCCGUGUUGGCGGCCUCGAAGGAAGACUCGAAAAA